rnacentral:siRNA from 1 species
AAUGAUGAAAUUGGCGCCACUUA